UACAGAGGGUGCGAGCGUUGUCCGGAAUCACUGGGCGUAAAGGGCGCGUAGGCGGCUUCUUAAGCGUGUGGUGAAAGCGCGGGGCUCAACCCCGCGUCGGCCGUGCGAACUGGGGAGCUGGAGCACGUCAGAGGCAGGCGGAAUUCCGGGUGUAGCGGUGGAAUGCGCAGAUAUCAGGAGGAACACCGGUGGCGAAGGCGGUUCUCUGGGCAUUACCUGACGCUGAGGAGCGAAAGUGUGGGGAGCGAACAGG
rnacentral:rRNA from 1 species